CAAAAGCGUGAAACCAUAAUCAAUAUUCGCAAAACCCAUAAUUGCUUAAACCCUUAUUCUCUAUUCGUUCUCCACCGCGGCCGAGCCGUGUUGCGAUACAGUGUAAGCACGACGAAGGUUCAUCGAACUUUUCGAUUAUGAGCGUCGUUUAUCUCAGAUUAAAGUUAUUUUCGGUAAAAUUCCAAAAUCGUUGAAUCAGAGCAAAAUCACGCCGGAGAAAAAUUGGAGCUAAAUUACGCCGGUUAGAAAUCGGAGCAUGUUGAAUUUACACCGGAGUGAAUUACGAUGAAUCACCACACAAUUUUCGUUUCUACUUUGUUCUCUUCUUCUUCGGUUCUUUGGAACUGAAUGACGCUGAAGAUUUCAUCACUGUUUCUACUUCUCGAUAUUCCUACAUAAUUGCCAAACAUGCAAGUUUGUCGUAAGAUGUCACGAUCACUACAAAGAUUUCCUCAAGAUAUAAUCAUUGAUAGUUGCCUCACAAUGCUGCAUUGUCCGCUCUAGAAUUUUUUGAUAGCGUUUGUGUGCUACAGGAUUAUUUUAUAAGCUAUGAAGUUUUGGACAAACUUAUAAGCUAUGAGGUUUGGCACAUCUCUCACUCUCUUCAUUCUCAAACAUAGAAAAUCCACACAAAGGUUCAAGUUAUUGAUAUCCAUCUAGUCUAAGAGUGUGCAGGUUGAUACAGAGACAUAUACUUGCAACUGAUUGUUUUGGAUAAAUAUGAUACUUUCAGUUUGGUAUCAAGUUUCGAAGCAUAAAUUCGGUGCUUGUAAGAGAUUUGAGUAAAAACAAUCUCGGUGGCAGUAUAUCGUACUCGUUUCCACAAACUUUGCAGCACUGAAUGAUGAUGAAAUCUUGUGAAAGAAAUAUAAUUAAUUUUGUGGUUUGUUGAAGAUAUAUUUGUGGAAUUAACUGUGAUGCGUCUGAAGAAGCUGCUUUGAUGUUCUGAGCAAUUAAAUGACAAUACUAGCAGUUAGAAAGGAUAUGGCUACACAAGAUCAUUAUGCUCAAAGUUCCAAUAUCUUCAAGGGUAUAACUUUUCUUCAGCUUUCAUGUUUGUUGGAGGACAUAUCAAUACUGUCGAGAACUAAGUUCACUUAAUCACUUAAAAUUGGAAGAUAGUAGUGAAAGAAGGAACCAAUUGUUGUGGAUCUUGUCAGAGCCAAGGGAAUGAUAUGGAUCUAUUAGUAAUUUGUCUGUAAUUCUAUUAUGAUGUAGGCUUGAUUGUGUCUAUAUCUAUUAGUAGAUUAUUUUGAUCUUUCAUUCUUUGUUUAGUAUAUUUCAAUGUUCUUUAAUUGCUAGUUACAUUCAUGAUUUAUUUACACUUUUUUGUAUAGUUUGUUAUAAUUUUUGCUGAUUUUAAUGCAUCAAUACUUAUGGAUUCAAUUAAAAAAA